AUUGAACGCUGGCGGCAGGCCUAACACAUGCAAGUCGAACGGUAACAGGAAACAGCUUGCUGUUUCGCUGACGAGUGGCGGACGGGUGAGUAAUGUCUGGGAAACUGCCUGAUGGAGGGGGAUAACUACUGGAAACGGUAGCUAAUACCGCAUAACGUCGCAAGACCAAAGAGGGGGACCUUCGGGCCUCUUGCCAUCGGAUGUGCCCAGAUGGGAUUAGCUAGUAGGUGGGGUAACGGCUCACCUAGGCGACGAUCCCUAGCUGGUCUGAGAGGAUGACCAGCCACACUGGAACUGAGACACUGUCCAGACUCCUACGGGAGGCAGCAGUGGGGAAUAUUGCACAAUGGGCGCAAGCCUGGUGCAGCCAUGCCGCGUGUAUGAAGAAGGCCUUCGGGUUGUAAAGUACUUUCAGCGGGGAGGAAGGGAGUAAAGUUAAUACCUUUGCUCAUUGACGUUACCCGCAGAAGAAGCACCGGCUAACUCCGUGCCAGCAGCCGCCGUAA
rnacentral:rRNA from 1 species